AUGUACAUGACUUGUGUACUUCAUUUAGCAUCCAAACCCUGCACUCUGCCAUUCAGCAACAUAAGUCUCCACCGCCCCUGCUUCCCUGUAAAAGAGGUAAGGCUAAAUAACUGCAAGUCUAAUCCGCAAACCCCAAGCACCAGCCUCCGCGUCUGGGAGGAAAAAGCGGCGGCAGGCGAGCCACGGCAAGGGCUGCGCCAGGGCCGACUGCGGUGCCCGGCUGUGGCUCCGAAAGCGAUUCUGGACGCCAGUGUCCCCCAGCCCAGCCACGCUCCUCCCUUUCCCCUCCCUAAAUCCCAAAUCGAGUCCCGCGCCCUUAGAGGAAGUAGGUCGCCCGCAGGAGAUCGGCCCCUUCUCCCCACCGUGCCCCCGACUCAAGCUCUUCUGGGCGUUGCUAUCUUCUCGUCUCCGCCGGCGGAGCCCACUAUGCCAGACAGUUUCGACACUUUGCAAAGACAAAGAGCCCUAGACCGGAGGGAGGAGGAGAAGGAAGAAGAGGAGCGGAACGAGAAGGAAGAGGCGAUGUGAGCCUGGAAGGGGGCGAGCGUCCGGGACACCCACACCCCUUUCUUCUCCUCGGAACCCCCUCAUGCCUGAAUCCCGGAAACUCCAGCGUGUCUCCAGCAGUGGUGAGUGCGAGUGCGGAGGCGAACCCUGCUCGGGGUGCGCGGAGGCUGAGUCCGCCGGAGUUGGGGCUCCGCAGUUUCCUGUGGAUUCUCGGAGUGGAGGGUUGAUUGUCUGGACCCGGGAACUGAAGGAGUGUGGAGGGGACUCAGAGGGUGUGACAGUGGAGGUGGGACUGAAGCCCCUAGGAUUCUAGUGGAAGACACUCGUAGGGAAACCCCUUCUUAGCCACGGCGACCACCCAGCAGGGCUCUGGGAGAGGAAGAAGGUCAGGGGGGAAUUUCGGGCUUAGAGGUCUUCGGCCGUCUCUGGAGGAGCUGCCUGGAGCUCUGCGGGGAACCUACGCCAAGUCCCGGGCAGCGGUUCCCGAAAGCAGCCCCAGUGACUUUGCACCCGGCGCCGGGCUGGGAUCUCCCUGGCUGGGGCCGCCCGUGGGAGGAGACCUCGCUGGGUGGCCGGGCUCAGGCGCUCUCGAGCGGAUCUGGGGUCACAGGCUGGGACACCGCGGAGGGCGCCAGUGAUCUGUACCAGCGGUAGUGGGACAGUAUCCGGAUCGAAUCCCCCAGUCUGCUGCAAGCAGGCGCAGACCCGGAAGGUGGCUCUUGGCCCUGGGGUCGUCUUCAGCGCGCGCUGCUCCGGACCCGGGGGUGAAGUUGGCACCCGGAACGAGAGAGCGGAACGCGACGUGAUGGACAGUGGGGGACGCGGGUGGGCCAAGGGGAGCACGGCCGGAGUGGUGUUAGUGGCAACUAGAAACUCUGAAUCCGCCCCAACCCCGUUAGAAGCCGCAGCUCCUGAGAAAUAAUCUGACAAAAGUUAGCAACUUGCCGGUGUCUCUCUCGUGUGUGACCUGCGUGGGGCAGA
rnacentral:lncRNA from 1 species